rnacentral:rRNA from 1 species
AGGAUAAACGCUGGCGGCGUGCAUGAGACAUGCAAGUCGAACGGACGAUCAGGGCUUGCUCUGAUCGUUAGUGGCGGACGGCUGAGUAACGCGUAGGUGACCUGCCCCGAAGUGGGGAAUAACUGCCCGAAAGGGUGGCUAAUACCGCAUGUGGUGGUGUGUUCAUUCACACCAGUAAAGCCGCAAGGCGCUUCGGGAGGGGCCUGCGUCCGAUUAGCUCGUUGGUGGGUAACGGCUCACCAAGGCGACGAUCGGUAGGUGGUCUGAGAGGACGAUCACCCAGACUGGGACUGAGACACGGCCCAGACUCCUACGGGAGGCAGCAGUCGGGAAUUUUGCGCAAUGGACGAAAGUCUGACGCAGCAACGCCGCGUGAGGGAUGAAGGCCUUCGGGUUGUAACCUCUUUAUCAGGGAAGAUAAUGACGGUACCUGAUGAAUAAGUCACGGCUAACUACGUGCCAGCAGCCGC